rnacentral:lncRNA from 1 species
AGUGGACGGUGAUCUUUUUUCCUAUCCAGGCAGAGUACCUAGGGACAGCUAUGAAUUCUGCAAAUGCAACGAGAGGGGACAAACACGACAAAGAGGCAGCAUGACCAGGCCACUAAACAGAUCUGAAGCCAAUCCCUGAGCCUCCUGGGCCAUACACUGUCCCACUAUUUCAAAAGAAACUCAGUGACGAGAGGGCAGAGGGAGAAUAUGUCCAGCAUCUCAGCCUCAUUGUUUUCCACUUGGCAGCCCCCUCCAGUUCAGGAUUCACUUGAAGAAGCCCACAGGGACGGGUGACACUGAGGAAACAAAACCCAGGCCCCCCGGCCUCCGACUGAGCCGUGCAGAGCAUGCUGGGAGAUCACCUCCACCUGAGGAGCACAAAAGACCCCAGGAGUGGAGGAAGCUGGCCUGAGGCCAACCGGAUGUAACAGACUUGCUGGGCCCAAGGAGGGAGGUCUGGUGAUGGAGCCUCGAGUACAUAUCCUUCCAAUCCUAAGAGAGAACACUGAAGCCCUUCAAGAUUUUAAAUUCUCCGAGAAGUCUUCAAAGGUCUACUUUGACUGUAGUAGAAGAGUGACUGGUAUCUUCGGAAUGGUUUUGAAGUUCAGUGAGAUGAGCCUGAUGGACUUGAAUUACUGA